ensembl:lncRNA
GUCCCGAAGGCUCUACCCCGGAGUCGUCCAGACCACUGGGGUCACGGGACGUCCCGGUGUCCUCGGCUCUCCGUCUGGAAAGGGGUUUCGGAGGCGCCCAGUGUUGUGGUGCGGGUUGGACAGCCAGCGACUCACGCACUAGCCCCACGCUGAGCCCGGGAUCCGGGGCCGCGGCUUCUGAGCCCAGAUCGACCGCCCGAGUGGGGACUGGAGACCCUGGCCCCGCUCCGCCCCCUCGGACCCCACUUCUCCCAGGACCCAGCCCGGAGCCCCGCGGAAGCACCACACCCGCGUGAAGAGGCUGGAACGCCCCCCGGAGAGGCUCCAGGAGGAGAUCCUGCUUAGCCCUUGGCAAAGUCCCUGCUGAUAUUUUUUACUCAAAACUAAACUUUAUUCUUAAUCUAAUUGCGAAAGUAAUCCAAGCUCACUGCAGAAACUGCAGACCUUACAGGAAAGCACAAGGCAAAGGAAAACUAGAAAUCCUGCGACCCCGGCAUCCUGGUUCUGCAGAAGCCCGAAGAGUCAAACAUCGUACUCAUUUUCCCAGUCUUUUUGCAACGCAGAAAUCUUGCCAUCACAGAGUGUGGGAUCCCAGCUGACAACCAGAGAAUGAUGUGGAGGAAAUUUGAUAUUCCUAGUUACAUGUGCAGUUUACAAGUCCCUCAGGGCACCCCGGGACUCCCAGAUGCUGCCUCACUUCUCACUUCACCAAGACAAGUGAAGAAGCCAGAGAACUUCCAAGCUCCACCCGCCACCACCCACGCUCUGCCUCCGCGCCCAUCUGUUACCCGCAGGCUCCUCUCUGGCUGAGCAGCCG